GACGAACGCUGGCGGCGUGCUUAACACAUGCAAGUCGAACGGAAAGGCCCUGCUUUUGUGGGGUGCUCGAGUGGCGAACGGGUGAGUAGCACGUGAGUAACCUGCCCUUGACUUUGGGAUAACUUCAGGAAACUGGGGCUAAUACCGGAUAGGAGCUCCUGCUGCAUGGUGGGGGUUGGAAAGUUUCGGCGGUUGGGGAUGGACUCGCGGCUUAUCAGCUUGUUGGGGGGGUAGUGGCUUACCAAGGCUUUGACGGGUAGCCGGCCUGAGAGGGUGACCGGCCACAUUGGGACUGAGAUACGGCCCAGACUCGUACGGGAGGCAGCAGUGGGGAAUAUUGCACAAUGGGCGGAAGCCUGAUGCAGCAACGCCGCGUGCGGGAUGACGGCCUUCGGGUUGUAAACCGCUUUCGCCUGUGACGAAGCGUGAGUGACGGUAAUGGGUAAAGAAGCACCGGCUAACUACGUG
rnacentral:rRNA from 1 species